GGGGCAGUAGCUCAGCGGUAGAGCUUCCGCUUCGUAUGCGGGAAUCCCUGGGUUCGAUUCCCGACUGCUCAC
rnacentral:tRNA from 1 species